GAUGAACGCUGGCGGCGUGCCUAAUACAUGCAAGUCGAGCGAAUGGAUUAAGAGCUUGCUCUUAUGAAGUUAGCGGCGGACGGGUGAGUAACACGUGGGUAACCUGCCCAUAAGACUGGGAUAACUCCGGGAAACCGGGGCUAAUACCGGAUAACAUUUUGAACCGCAUGGUUCGAAAUUGAAAGGCGGCUUCGGCUGUCACUUAUGGAUGGACCCGCGUCGCAUUAGCUAGUUGGUGAGGUAACGGCUCACCAAGGCAACGAUGCGUAGCCGACCUGAGAGGGUGAUCGGGCACACUGGGACUGGGACACGGCCCAGACUCCUACGGGAGGCAGCAGUAGGGAAUCUUCCGAAAUGGACUAAAGUCUGACGGAGCAACGCCGCGUGAGUGAUGAAGGCUUUCGGGUCGUAAAACUCUGUUGUUAGGGAAGAACAAGUGCUAGUUGAAUAAGCUGGCACCUUGACGGUACCUAACCAGAAAGCCACGGCUAACUACGUGCCAGCCGCCGCGGUAA
rnacentral:rRNA from 1 species